rnacentral:rRNA from 1 species
CACGAACCGGACAAACGUUAUUCGGAAUCACUGGGCUUAAAGGGUGCGUAGGCGGUCUGACAAGUUGGGUGUGAAAUCCCUCGGCUCAACCGAGGAAUAGCGCUCAAAACUGUUGGACUUGAGGGAGUUAGAGGUAAGCGGAACUUAGGGUGGAGCGGUGAAAUGCGUUGAUAUCCUAAGGAACACCAGUGGCGAAAGCGGCUUACUGGAGCUCUUCUGACGCUGAGGCACGAAAGCUAGGGGAG